GAUGAACGCUGGCGGCGUGCUUAACACAUGCAAGUCGAACGGAAAGGCUCCUGCUUGCCGGGGUACUCGAUUGGCGAACGCGUGAGUAACACGUGGGUGAUCUGCCCCGCACUUCGGGAUAAGCCUUGGAAACUGGGUCUAAUAUCGGAUAGGAUAGUGGUUUCGAUGCCAUUCUGGAAAGUUUUGUCGGUGUGGGGUUAGCUCGCGGCCUAUCAGCUUUUUGUGGGGGUAAUGGUCUACCAAGGCGUCGCCGUGUAGCCGGCCUGAGAGGGUGUACGGCCACAUUGGGACUGAGAUACGGCCCAGACGCCGAAGGGAGGCAGAAGGGGGGAAGAUUGAACAAUGGGCGCAAGGCUGAUGCAGCGAGGCCGCGUGGGGGAAGACGGCCUUCGGGUUGUAAACUACUUGCGCUAGGGACGAAGCGUUAUGUGACGGUACCUAGAGAAGAAGCACCGGCUAACUACGUG
rnacentral:rRNA from 1 species